rnacentral:rRNA from 1 species
GUCUUUUUGAUUUUUUUUUAAAGUCUAGCCUGCCCACUGAAUUUUUUUUAAAUGGCCGCAGUAUACUGACUGUGCAAAGGUAGCAUAAUCAUUAGUCUUUUAAUUGAAGGCUUGUAUGAAUGGUUGGACGAGAUAUUAACUGUUUCAUAAAAAUUUAUUAUAAAAUUUUAUUUUUUAGUCAAAAAGCUAAAAUAAAUUUAAAAGACGAGAAGACCCUAUAAAUCUUUAUAUUUAUUUUAUUAUAAUUUUUUAGAAUUUUUUUAUUGUAAUAUAAAUGAAAUAUUUUAUUGGGGUGAUAUUAAAAUUUAAUAAACUUUUAAUUUUUAAAUUCAUUAAUUAAUGAUUGAUUGAUCCGUUUUUAGCGAUUAAAAAAUUAAGUUACUUUAGGGAUAACAGCGUAAUUUUUUUGGAGAGUUCAUAUCGAUAAAAAAGAUUGCGACCUCGAUGUUGGAUUAAGAUAUAGUUUUAGGUGUAGUAGCUUAAAUUUUAAGUCUGUUCGACUUUUAAAUUCUUACGUG